AUUGCUUCUCAGCCUUUUGGCUAAGAUCAAGUGUAGUAUAGCCCCACUGAUGAUGAAGCAGUGUUUCUUUCUCCCCACAGCUUCAUCAGUAUUUUUUAUUGGCUAAUUUGUUGAUGGCAGCCAAUUUUUCUGGAUUAAAAUAAAAUCUAAGUAUUGGUUUAAUUUGCAUUUUUGAAUGGCC
rnacentral:snRNA from 1 species